GCCUGGGUAUAAAUCCUUUGGAAUAGGGUAUCAUAGAGGGUGAGAAUCCCGUCUUUGACUCAGUGCAUGCUACUAUGUGAUACGUUUUCAAAGAGUCGAGUUGUUUGGGAAUGCAGCUCAAAAUGGGUGGUAAAUUUCAUCUAAAGCUAAAUAUUGGCGAGAGACCGAUAGCGAACAAGUACCGUGAGGGAAAGAUGAAAAGAACUUUGAAAAGAGAGUUAAACAGUGCGUGAAAUUGUUGAAAGGGAAACGCUUGACACCAGUUAUGCGGGUGGAAAAUCAGUCUUUUGCAAUGGGGAGUUGUGGGCGUUCAGACCGCAAGGCUGGCGUUUGCUUCAUCUUUGUUGUAAGUGAUGCACUUUUUCAUUUGCAGGUCAACAUCAGUUUGCUCUGCUGGACAAAACUCCAAGGGAAGGUGGCAGCUUAGGCUGUGUUAUAGCCCUGGAGCGAUACAGUGGGGUGGACUGAGGUUUC
rnacentral:rRNA from 1 species